GGCCUCCAUCUUUGGGGUGAUCAAUUGUGGGGCUCCACGAUUGAUCACCCAGCAGAGGGAGGCC
rnacentral:pre_miRNA from 1 species